rnacentral:rRNA from 1 species
GACGAACGCUGGCGGCGUGCUUAACACAUGCAAGUCGAACGCUGAAGCUCAGCUUUUGUUGGGUGGAUGAGUGGCGAACGGGUGAGUAACACGUGAGUAACCUGCCUCCUUCUUUGGGAUAACGCCCGGAAACGGGUGCUAAUACUGGAUAUUCACUGGUCUUCGCAUGGGGGUUGGUGGAAAGGGUUUUUCUGGUGGGGGAUGGGCUCGCGGCCUAUCAGCUUGUUGGUGGGGUGAUGGCCUACCAAGGCUUUGACGGGUAGCCGGCCUGAGAGGGUGCCCGGUCACAUUGGGACUGAGAUACGGCCCAGACUCCUACGGGAGGCAGCAGUGGGGAAUAUUGCACAAUGGGCGCAAGCCUGAUGCAGCGACGCCGCGUGAGGGAUGGAGGCCUUCGGGUUGUGAACCUCUUUCGCUCAUGGUCAAGCCGCAACAAUGGUUGUGGUGAGGGUAGUGGGUAAAGAAGCGCCGGCUAACUACGUG